UGGACAAUCAGCUCUUUUAGCAUUUGUCCAGUAGGUUUCCUCAAGGGAAAAAGCCCUA
ensembl:snRNA U7 U7 small nuclear RNA